rnacentral:rRNA from 1 species
UGAGUACGAGAUGCUACGGCAUCGAAGCAGUCUAUGUCAUACUUCCAAGAAAAGCUUGCAAUGUCAUAAACAAAUAAUGCCUGUACCAUAACCGACACAGGUGGGUAGGUAGAGUAUACUAAGGGGCGCGAGAUAACUCUCUCUAAGGAACUCGGCAAAAUGACUCCGUAACUUCGGGAGAAGGAGUGCCUUAUUUUUAUAAGGUUGCAAUAACAAGAUCCAAGCAACUGUUUACCAAAAACACAGGUCUCCGCUAAGUCGUAAGACGAUGUAUGGGGGCUGACGCCUGCCCAGUGCCAGAAGGUUAAAGAAGUUGGUUAGCAUUAGCGAAGCUGAUAACUGAAGCCCUGGUGAACGGCGGCCGUAACGAUAACGGUCCUAAGGUAGCGAAAUUCCUUGUCGGGUAAGUUCCGACCCGCACGAAAGGCGUAAUGAUUUGGAUACUGUCUCGGAGAGGGGCUCGGUGAAAUAGACUUGUCUGUGAAGAUGCGGACUACCUGCACCUGGACAGAAAGACCCUAUGAAGCUUUACUGUAACUUGAGAUUGAAAUUGGACUUUAUCUGCGCAGUAUAGGUGGGAGACGUUGAAAAUAUUCUUGCGGGAAUAUUGGAGUCAUCAGUGAGAUACCACUCUUAUAAUGUUAGAUUUCUAACUUUGUAUCAUUAUCUGGUCAAAGAACAGUUUCAGGCGGGCAGUUUGACUGGGGCGGUCGCCUCCCAAACGGUAACGGAGGCGCACAAAGGUUUCCUCUGAACGUGUAGAAAUCGUAUCUAGAGUGUAAAGGCAUAAGGAAGCUUGACUGUGAGACCUACAAGUCGAGCAGGGACGAAAGUCGGUCUUAGUGAUCUGACGGUGCUGAGUGGAAAGGCCGUCACUCAACGGAUAAAAGUUACUCUAAGGAUAACAGGCUGAUCUCCCCCAAGAGUUCACAUCGACGGGGAGGUUUGGCACCUCGAUGUCGGCUCAUCGCAUCCUGGGGCGGUAGUACGUCCCAAGGGUUGGGCUGUUCGCCCAUGAAAGCGGUACGCGAGCUGGGUUCAGAACGUCGUGAGACAGUUCGGUCCAUAUCCGGUGUAGGCGUUAGAAUAUUGAGAGGAGCCUUCUUUAGUACGAGAGGACCGAGAAGGACAUACCUCUGGUGUACCAGUUAUCGUGCCAACGGUAAACGCUGGGUAGCCAUGUAUGGAGAGGAUAACCGCUGAAAGCAUCUAAGUGGGAAGCCCACCUCAAGAUAAGUAUUCUCAUC